CAAAACCUCACAGUUUCAAGAUUAGAGAUAGAAUAACACAUUUCAAAAAAGAGGUUUUACAUGUUUCAAAAUAUUUUUCUUCUAAAAUUGUUAGAAAGACAAACUGCAAAACCUUCGACCAACUAAAAGGUUAUGACACUCUAAAGCUCUCAAAGAAAUGCAGUCCCCAAAAUCCAUGAAUAUGACCCAAUAUGGUCUCUCUCGUCAAUCUCUGCCUCUUCUGGUCAAGUUCUUUACUGAAACAGAACUUCAAACGGAUUUGUUUGAGUGGGUGGAGAGGAAUCCACCUCCGGCUAAUAUAAUGCUCAUAUCUGGUCGUGAAUGGAAAGCUUAGCUCGUACUCUUUAUGGCCUAAUAUUGAUGGAUACACAAUUCUUCUGGCAUAUCCUCAACGCCAUCCAGCUCCAGACUGGCUCUGGAAAAACUUUAUGUCUGGGGUUUAAUAAGAAUGGCUCUGGAAAAGCUUACUAGUUACUAGCAGAUGAUAUGGAUUCAGGGUCUGCAGGGGAUAAAAAGUUGACAACAAGACUUGUUCUUCAGGACAAGUGAAGUGAAACGGGUGAGUCUCCCUGGUCGUGCUGCUCAAUGUGCGAUUUUGCUGGCCAAAGCUUUGAAGAUUUCAACACGCAUCUCAAGAGUGAGGACCAUACACAUAAUGCUUUGGAUGAAAAUGGUGGGAUGUGAGAAGCUUAAAAUAAAGGCAAGUUGAGAUUUCUAAUUUUUAGAAUUUGGUGAAUCUGAUUUCCUCUAGAUGUGCAUUUUGUUGUCAAGCAGGCUUUGGAUUCUGUGUUUAAAAUUAGUUGAAUCGGAAGCCCCGUAAUGUGAAAUAGAUAGCAUAAUUUGGAAGGAAGCUUGGAGAAGUUGUAGUAGUGAAGGACACUGAAGAAGAUAAAGUAGAGGAAGAUACCGAAUGCCUCAUCUACAAGAGAGGAAGAAGAAUAAUAGUUCAUGGGGCAUGGGGUAUUGUUUUAAAGUAAUUUCAUACGCUCAUGGUUUGUUCUUUUUCUA